rnacentral:rRNA from 1 species
AACGAACGCUGGCGGCAGGCUUAACACGUGCAAGUCGAACGCCCCGCAAGGGGAGUGGCAGACGGGUGAGUAACGCGUGGGAACAUGCCCAAAGGUACGGAACAACUCCGGGAAACUGGAGCUAAUACCGUAUGUGACCGAGAGGUGAAAGAUUUAUCGCCUUUGGAUUGGCCCGCGUUGGAUUAGCUAGUUGGUGGGGUAAAGGCCUACCAAGGCGACGAUCCAUAGCUGGUCUGAGAGGAUGAUCAGCCACACUGGGACUGAGACACGGCCCAGACUCCUACGGGAGGCAGCAGUGGGGAAUAUUGGACAAUGGGCGCAAGCCUGAUCCAGCCAUGCCGCGUGAGUGAUGAAGGCCUUAGGGUUGUAAAGCUCUUUCGCCAGGGACGAUAAUGACGGUACCUGGAUAAGAAGCCCCGGCUAACUUCGUGCCAGCAGCCGCGGUAACAC